rnacentral:rRNA from 1 species
UUAGUGUGAUCCUGGUCAUAGCUGUUUCCUGACGGCAGGCUUAACACAUGCAAGUCGAACGAGAAUCUAGAGCUUGCUCUAGAGGAAAGUGGCAGACGGGUGAGUAACGCGUGGGAAUCUACCUAGUGGUACGGGAUAACGUUUGGAAACGAACGCUAAUACCGUAUACGCCCUUCGGGGGAAAGAUUCAUCGCCACUAGAUGAGCCCGCGUUAGAUUAGCUUGUUGGUGAGGUAAAAGCUCACCAAGGCUCCGAUCUAUAGCUGGUCUGAGAGGAUGAUCAGCCACACUGGGACUGAGACACGGCCCAGACUCCUACGGGAGGCAGCAGUGGGGAAUAUUGCACAAUGGGCGCAAGCCUGAUGCAGCCAUGCCGCGUGAGUGAAGAAGGCCUUAGGGUUGUAAAACUCUUUCAGUGGUGAUGAUAAUGACAGUAGCCACAGAAGAAGCCCCGGCUAACUCCGUGCCAGCAGCCGCGGUAAUACGGAGGGGGCUAGCGUUGUUCGGAAUUACUGGGCGUAAAGCGCGCGUAGGCGGAUUGAUUAGUCAGGGGUGAAAUCCCGAGGCUUAA